ensembl:lncRNA
CCCUUAACCUCGGACCCCCCUGCAGCCCACCACAUCGAAAACCUGUAAAAAGAAAAUGUUAUUCUAUUUUAUAUUUUUCCAAUGGGAAUAAUAUAAAAAAUAUAUAUAUAAAAAGAAGUUACCAUAUGUGUAGAAUAUAUUUAAUAUGAAUGUUAUAUUGAACAAGUUGAGGCCUAUAGAUCCAGUAUGUUGAUACAGUAUCUUAGUGUCUGUGUGUACACCAUGGGUUAGCUAGCUAGCUUUCUAGACAGUGGUUCAAACCGUUACCUUGGUGACAGGGUCUGCGUCCCGCCCCCUCCCUCCGAUUGGCUCCCGUUUUCCAUAUAUAGUGCACUACUUUCAACCGUGGCCCAUAGAACCUGUGAUAGGCUAGCGUCCUGUCCAGGGGGUUGUACAUCAAGCUACCUCACGCUCCUGUCUUAUGGGCUUUUCUAGCUCAGACAAGGCUACUUACUGACAUAGGGGCCGGGGUCCAAAGUAGUGCACUAUUUAGGGGAAAUAAGGUGCCAAUUUAGGACGCAGACAACGUAUUGUAUUUCAAGCAGCAGAACAGAACCAUCCUCCUAAUCAUUGACGUACAGAAUUAUUGUAAACAUGUUAUACUUCUCAUUUUAUCUUAUUUUUUAUUUUCAAAUGUUCAUAGUUUAAUAUAAUCUUUAUUUUUAUUUUUAUUUUUUUGCUUUCUUGCAGCACUAGGUCUUAAAGGAUGCGUCCCAAAUUGUAUCAUAUUUCCCUGCAUAGUGCACAACCCAUAUGGCUCUGGUCAAAAGUAGUGCACUUUGUAGGUGAAUAGGAUGCAAUUUGGGACGUAGUCCAAAGAGUAUAGUUUCUCAGCGAUCAGAGUUUCAAGCUUGUACAGUGAUAAUAUUAAAAAUCAGUUUUCAAACCGAUUGUAAAUAAUAGUAAUCUAAAUGCUUCUUCUCUCUUUACCCCUCUUCUAUACUUCACAUGGAAUACAUACAUCUUUCAAACAAAUAAAGAUGAUUGAAAGUGCAUUUGGUUUGAUUGAUUGAUUGAUUUUAAU